GUGCUCACUUUGGUAGCACAUAUACUAAAACUGGAAGGAUACAGAGAUGAUUAGCAUGGCUCCUGUGCAAGAAUGGCAUGUAAAUUUGUGAAGCAUUCCACAUUUUU
rnacentral:snRNA from 1 species